CAAAAACGGUCAAAAAAGUCAUAGUAUAGUAAGGUCAAAACGGUCAAAAAAGUCAUAGUAUAGUAAGGUGUCAAAAAAUGUGAAAAAAGUCAUAGUAUAGUAAGGCAUCAAAAACGGUCAAAAAGUCAUAGUAUAGUAAGGCGUCAAAAAAUGUGAAAAAAAGUCAUAGUAUUGUAAGGUGUCAAAAAAUGUGAAAAAAGUCAUAGUAUAGUAAGGCGUCAAAAACGGUCAAAAAAGUCAGUAUUGUAAGGCGUCAAAAACGGUCAAAAAAGUCAUAGUAUAGUAAGGUGUCAAAAAAUGUGAAAAAAAGUCAUAGUAUAGUAAGGCAUCAAAAACGGUCAAAAAAGUCAUAGUAUAGUAAGGCAUUAAAAAAUGUGAAAAAAAAGUCAUAGUAUAGUAAGGUGUCAAAAAAUGUGAAAAAAGUCAUAGUAUAGUAAGGUGUCAAAAAAUGUGAAGAAAAAAAAUG